rnacentral:tRNA from 1 species
GGGCGUUUAGCUCAGCUGGGAGAGCACCUGCCUUACAAGCAGGGGGUCAUAGGUUCGAGCCUUAUAGUGCCCACCA